rnacentral:rRNA from 1 species
GGAGUCUGGUCCGUGUCUCAGUACCAGUGUGGGGGACCUUCCUCUCAGAACCCCUAAGGAUCGAUGGCCAGGUGGGCCGUUACCCCGCCUGCUGCCUAAUCCUACGCAUCCCCAUCCCAAGGCGAUGAAUCUUUACUCCUCCUCAGAUGCCAUCAAAAGAGACCAUCAGGUAUUAAUCCGACUUUCGCCGGGCUGUCCCUGACCUCGGGGCAGGUUGGAUACGCGUUACUCACCCGUGCGCCGGUCGCCAUCAAACUUAGCAAGCUAAGUUCAUGCUGCCCCUCGACUUGCAUGUGUUAAGCCUGUAGCUAGCGUUCAUC